rnacentral:rRNA from 1 species
GGACCCGCACAAGCGGUGGAGCAUGUGGUUUAAUUCGAUGAUACGCGAGGAACCUUACCAGGGUUUAAAUGCAGAACGACAGGGGUGGAAACACCCCCUUCUUCGGACGGACUGCAAGGUGCUGCAUGGUUGUCGUCAGCUCGUGCUGUGAAGUGUCGGGUUAAGUCCCAUAACGAGCGCAACCCCCAUUUCUAGUUGCCAGCGGUUCGGCCGGGGACUCUAGCGAGACUGCCGGUGCAAACCGCGAGGAAGGUGGGGAUGACGUCAAAUCAUCACGGCCCUUACGUCCUGGGCUACACACGUGCUACAAUGGUCGGUACAGAGAGCAGCCACUACGCGAGUAGGAGCGAA